GAUGAACGCUGGCGGCGUGCCUAAUACAUGCAAGUCGAGCGAACGGACGAGAAGCUUGCUUCUCUGAUGUUAGCGGCGGACGGGUGAGUAACACGUGGAUAACCUACCUAUAAGACCGGGAUAACUUCGGGAAACCGGAGCUAAUACCGGAUAAUAUUUUGAACCGCAUGGUUCAAAAGCGAAAGACGGUCUUGCUGUCACUUAUAGAUGGAUCCGCGCUGCAUUAGCUAGUUGGUAAGGUAACGGCUUACCAAGGCAACGAUGCAUAGCCGACCUGAGAGGGUGAUCGGCCACACUGGAACUGAGACACGGUCCAGACUCCUACGGGAGGCAGCAGUAGGGAAUCUUCCGCAAUGGGCGAAAGCCUGACGGAGCAACGCCGCGUGAGUGAUGAAGGUCUUCGGAUCGUAAAACUCUGUUAUUAGGGAAGAACAUAUGUGUAAGUAACUGUGCACAUCUUGACGGUACCUAAUCAGAAAGCCACGGCUAACUACGUG
rnacentral:rRNA from 1 species